rnacentral:lncRNA from 10 species
CCUAGUUUCCCAGUGCUGGAAUAUAGAAAAUGGAUGGACAACUGGACCUACCAUGAAAGACUUCUGAAUCCAGGAAGAGAAACUGACUGGGCAACAUGUUAUUCAGAUGGGGUCUUCUUAUGUUGCCCAGGUUGGUCUCAAAUUGCUAGGCUCAAGUGAUUCCACCCACCUCUGCCUCCCACAGUGCUGGGAUUACGGGCAUGAGCCAGCGCAUCUGGCCACCUUAUUUUCAAUUACUGGCUCAAUGUAAUGGCUCCAUCUCAGGAACAGCCAAUGAAAGAGAUGCACAGGACAAGAGAUGGGACCUCAGUAUGUUGCCACGGCUGACCUUGAACUCCUGCACUCAAGGGAUUUUCCUACCCUGGCCUCCCAAAGUAUUGGUAUUACAGGCAUGAGCCAUUGUGCCCACCGUCUCUGGUUCUUAACCUUCUGCCUCCCUCUUCCAGUUUUAAAGAAUGCUUGUAAUUACAUGGGCUCUCCUAGAUACUCCAGGAUAAUCUUGUUUUAAG